rnacentral:rRNA from 1 species
GACGAACGCUGGCGGCGUGCCUAAUACAUGCAAGUCGAACGGGGAAAGCUUUCGGGUGAGUACUAGUGGCGCACGGGUGAGUAACGCGUGGAUAAUCUGCCUUAGAGUGGGGGAUAACUAGUCGAAAGAUUAGCUAAGACCGCAUAGGACCACAAGAACUGCGGUUCAAGAGGUCAAAGGUUUUUCGCUCUAAGAUGAGUCCGCGUAAGAUUAGCUAGUUGGUGAGGUAACGGCUCACCAAGGCAACGAUCUUUAACUGGUCUGAGAGGAUGAUCAGUCACACUGGAACUGAGACACGGUCCAGACUCCUACGGGAGGCAGCAGUAGGGAAUAUUGCACAAUGGAGGAAACUCUGAUGCAGCGACGCCGCGUGAGUGAUGAAGGCCUUCGGGUCGUAAAGCUCUGUCGCAGGGGAAUAACACAAUGCAUGUACCCUGUAAGAAAGGAUCGGUUAACUUCGUGCCAGCAGCCGCAGUAAAAC